rnacentral:lncRNA from 1 species
UUUUUUCUUUUUUUUUUUUUUUUUUUAUUUUUAUUUUUUUAUUUUAUUUACAAUACUCCUGAUGCAAAAUAGUGAUGAUAUCGAUUUUUUUUCCCCUUGACCCACCCCCUCCCUCCCCCCUUUCCCCUUCCCUCGUUUCCUCCUUCUCUUUCUUAUCCUCUUUCAGUUCAAACAAACAUAUUUUUAUAUUCACAAGAGAGGAUCUCUCUUUAUCGUAUCCCUUAUUACACACGAUACAGAUAAAUUACUUCACUCGUACGUACUUAUACUUUGGCGCAACAAUUCAUCAACGAACAAAUUAAUUUAUUCAUCGUUUUUUUUUCUUCUUCUUCUUCUAUUUUUAUAAUAAUAAUAAUAAUAAUAAUAAUAAUAAUCGUGGCUUCUCUCGACGCACAAUAUACGUAUGCAUGUAUAUUCUAUAUAACAAUCAUGAUGCUCACGUUUCGUAUUCUAUCCGUUUAUGCAAGGACAUAACAUUUUGCCACGACGAUACGUAGGAGGAGGAAUCGCGGCGCGAUUCAUUAUUUUUCAGCCUACUUAUUAUAAGAAAAGGUACGUGGAGGAUUUGAUUGGUGCAUCCGUGGUGAACGAGUCGUUACGAAUCAAGAUCCAAUCAAUGAUAAAACGACACGUGUACAAAGCGGCUUUCGCGAGGCGCGGAAAGCUUCUCGGCGGGAAAUUUGAAAAACGGCGUUCGAAAUCCCGGCUCGAAACUCGACACGUGUGUUAUUAUCAUUAUUUUAACACGGUGAUCGUCGAGCCGGAUUUCCACUGGUCGGGCAUCGACAGGAACUCGAGUAUCGCCGGCUAAUCCUACGGAAUACCCUAAUAGCAGCCCUAAUUGCGGGGGGGCUAACUCGGGCAAAUCUCGAAACUGUCGUGUUCAAUCUCGGCUGGCGUUUUCGAGAUCGUGACAAAAGGAAGGUCGCGAGGACACGCUCGCAAAUUCCCUCUCUCGAGCGACAGCGUCCGAAAUCGCCAACGUCCAAGUUUCGAGAGCGUGGGGGCUCGAUGAGAUCGAUCGAUCGAUCGAUCGGACACGCCUCUCGUUUCCCCACCUUUGUUUGCUUGCUUCUUCUACAUUUCGACAAAGGGAAUUACCGAUUUCCUCUAUUAUGUAUACGCGUAUGUAUCGCCCUCGGAUCGGCGUAUAUAACAAAUCGAUACACAGGAAACUGUAUUAUAGCGGCGAAACACCUUUCUCUGGAAAAAUUGUUACGAACGAACGAUCGUAUAAAUUUCGAAUUUCGAAAUUAUCGAUAACGAAUAUUUCUCUUCGAAUUUCCUGGACGAGGCGGGUGAACGACACACACACACACUCUCUCUCUCUCUCUCUUACACACGUACGUCCGUGACUAACGGAAAAAUCAAUACAAGCGCGGCUAUCUGGUGUCGCGUUUUAACGGAUUUCGCGAUCGUUACUACUACAUUGUUGAUUUCCAGGCAGUGUCCUCGAUGAACCAACGAUGACGAGGAGGGGAGGGAGGGAAAUUUUUUGCUGAUAUUUUAUCGUACGAUUUUAUUGCAAGUUGCUUCGUCUUGCAAUAAAAUAUCAAAGGAAAUCCGCGUCAGCAACGAGGGGAGCUGAAAUCGUUACUUUUCGAAACAUUUCUCGGUAGAAGCGAAUAUACAUAUAUUGCUGAUCAAAAGUUUUUGGAAUCAUUGGAAUUUGAUCGAGAUUAAACGGAGAUUGAACAAUUUUUUUUAACAACGAAAUUAGAAUAUAGAUUCGAAUCGUAAAGGUGAUUCUAAAACUUCUGAUCGUUUAGUGCCAACCUUCGAAAUUAAAAUAAAAACUUCCUCCAAUUAUAUUGCCUCGAUGUGCGCAAAAACGUGUCUCGAAAAACGUGUUACCAGGCACCAAAAAGUUUCUCGUUGUUGCUUCAGCGAGGACACAUGGCUUAAGGCUACAUGGCUCGCUUUCCCCCUCUCUUGCUCCCUUGCAUUUCCGCUUCUUUCUUUUAUUUUCCAUAUCUCUCGUUCCAACCAAUCUCGAAAGAUAGCAGAAACCACGAACGAGAGACGAAGAGAGUGAAUAUUCGUGUCGUUUACGAUAAACACGCAUCCUCUAUCGAACAGUGAAGUAGUGAAAGAAAAAUCCUUGAUAUGCCAACGACCCGAUAUUUCAUCGCGUCGAAGCAUAAGCCUACUUGUACACAACUCCCUGUUGAACGCUUCGAGUUCUCCAAUUCUUUCUGGAUUAUUCUUUCCAACUACGCGUAUGUAUGUGUGCAUGCAUAUAUCCCGAUGGCGAGACAUAUAUACUAUAUAUAUAGUAUAUAUAUAUAGUAUAUACAAACAAGUCAGAAAGGGUCCAGUGUGCAAGCGAGUAAAACGCUCGAUACGUGUACAACGAUACAAUCAGAUGAUGUUCCAGAUACCCGAUCCGAGCUAAUUAAUUUUCGUCGAACGUUUCCAAUUAAUUUUCACGGGAAACAGUUAAUUAACGAGGGCUGUAUAAUCGAACGUUCGCAGGAUUCGAGGACACGACCCUGAAAUUCUCGAAGAACGACGAUCCCUGGAACUUUUGAUAAAACGCGAUUUAAACGGCCGAGGUAUUUUUGUGUGAAAAGAGAUAUCCUUUCAAAAAUAUUUGCUAUUAUAUAUUCUAUCUUCUGUUUAUAUUUUUGAUAAAACUUGUAAAAUUAGUUGUUUAAAAUUCUUUUUAUUCUUUUUUAGCAAAAAUUUUAUUAUUCUCGUUUAUGCGUAUUAUAUUACGAAUAACGAUGGACAUAAAGAAAAUUGGAUGUAUUAAUAUUGUUAAAAAUUUAUUAACAAAAUAUAUCAAAUUUUACUUUGUACAUUAUCAGAUUAAGAUCUUAUUACGGGCGAAGAAAAAAAUUGCGUAUUAUAUCAUGGAAGAUGGAAAUCUAGGAUACAAUUUAUUAUGACAUUUUUAUGUCCAGUCAUCGAAUAUGCACGUAUAACCCAUUUAAUGGUGUGACCAAUUUAAAAUAACCCGUAUGAAUUUCACAAAUUUAAAUUUAAUAAAUAAUUUAAUAUUUGUAAAAUAUAUAUAAUAUAUAAUUUAGAAUCGGAAAUAUAUAAAAUAAAGUUCAAGAGAGAUCGAUGUUAAAAUCAUUUACCAUUAAAAGGGUUGAAUAUUCAUGCACAUAUUUCUCGUGCAUUAACAAGAUCUGCUGUGAAACUGUACAACAAAAUUGCUUUCAGUUUCGAAGAAACCGUAGCGAAGAGGUUGAAUCGGUAAAAGCAAAGAUAGAUGAAGAUUAAUCGAGUGGCUAACUAUUCUUGAAAGGAUAUCUUUUCAACAGCCAUCUACAUAAUCUAACUGCCGUUCUAUAAAACUUCUCAUCGUGUUGGAUAACACAGAAAUUACUAAAGAGACUUUAUCUUCUGGUUACGUCAUCGUGUUUGUUAACGAUCGAGAAGUGAAUCCGGUGCACGUUAUCGAUGGCGAGAAAUAACCAGAUAUAACAGAUGAUUACGAACAGUGGCAGAAGCUAUCCGUCACGAAUCUUCCACUCUGCACACGCACUUCGUUCUUACACAUAUAUGAUUAUUUUCUAAUAUAAAGACUCGUUACUUUGACCAGCAAAACACGCACGAUAUACAGUAGUGUCCACUUUAACGCUCACAGUUCAGAAAUGAGAGGAAAGAAAAA